rnacentral:tRNA from 1 species
GAGGGUAGAGCUCAGUGGUAGAGCGCAUGCUUAGCAUGUUGGAGGUCCUGGGUUCAAUCCCCAGUACCUCCA